rnacentral:rRNA from 1 species
GGUGAACGCUGGCGGCGUGCCUAACACAUGCAAGUCGAGCGGAGAAUUGUUGCUUGCAACAAUUCUUAGCGGCGGACGGGUGAGUAACACGUGUGUAACCUGCCCUAAACAAAGGGAUAACAAUGAGAAAUCAUUGCUAAUACCGUAUAAGCUUACACUAUCGCAUGAUAGAGUAAGAAAAGAUUUAUCGGUUUAGGAGGGGCCCGCGUCUGAUUAGCUAGUUGGAGAGGUAACGGCUCACCAAGGCGACGAUCAGUAGCCGACCUGAGAGGGUGAUCGGCCACAUUGGGACUGAGACACGGCCCAAACUCCUACGGGAGGCAGCAGUGGGGAAUAUUGCACAAUGGAGGAAACUCUGAUGCAGCAACGCCGCGUGAAGGAAGAAGGUUUUCGGAUCGUAAACUUCUAUCUACAGGGAAGAAAAAAAUGACGGUACCUGAGGAAGAAGCCCCGGCUAACUACGUG